UACGGAGGGAGCUAGCGUUGUUCGGAAUUACUGGGCGUAAAGCGUGCGCAGGCGGUGAUGUAAGACCGAUGUGAAAUCCCCGGGCUUAACCUGGGAACUGCAUUGGUGACUGCAUUGCUGGAGUAUGGCAGAGGGGGGUGGAAUUCCACGUGUAGCAGUGAAAUGCGUAGAGAUGUGGAGGAACACCGAUGGCGAAGGCAGCCCCCUGGGCCAAUACUGACGCUCGAUGCACGAAAGCGUGGGGAGCAAACAGG
rnacentral:rRNA from 1 species